GUAAUAUUGACCAUGCAAGAAGAGUUUUUGAUAUGGCAUUGUCAUCAAUUGAUGGGCUUCCAUUGCAUUUACAAUCUAAUGCUCCCCUUUUAUAUUUCUGGUAUGCUGAGGCAGAACUUGCCAACAGUUAUGGGAAUACUCAAGAAUCGUCACCUAGAGCAUUGCACAUUCUAUCCUGCUUAGGAACUGGACCAAAGUAUUAUCCAUUUGAGCACAAACCAUCAGGCCUGCAAUUGCUGAGAGCACACCAAGGG
rnacentral:misc_RNA from 1 species